CUCAGGGAAGUGUUUGGCCAACUGAAAUGUGUAGCGGGCAGGCAGGCAGGUGGGUAGGCGGGCAGGAUGGCAGGCGCUAGGCAAGCGGGCGGACGCGUAGGCACUCAAUGUGGGUAGAACACAGGGGAAGCAGAGACGGAGUAAUCUGACCAAGCAGCUGAAGUGACAGAAGCUACAUUAAUAGAGGCAUAUGUCUGGAGCACAGAGAGACGGAAAGAGAGAGAAAACAGACACUGUACCAGCCUGAGAGAGAGCGAGAGAGAAAGGGUGAGGGGUAAACAGAAAACAGCGCCAGCCUCUGUAAUUGCCUCAAUGCCACUGGGAAUGCUCUCAUUCAUUUGAAGCAGGCUGUAUUCUCGCUCUCUCUUUCUCUUUUUUCACAAUUGAGGUGCGUGGGGUGCAGUUGGGUGGGUGAUCCGUGUGCAAUCCUCAGUGUGUGAUGCUAACGUAUGGCGAUGAGUGCGAUAGCUCCCCUGUGCUGAAUCUCCCGUAACAUCAGCGUGAGGACCAGUCCAUGGCUGUGGCCUGGGUAGAGAGCACAGCACACAGCGCUGUGGAAAAGUGAGGGCGAUAAGGAGGUUGUAUCUGACAGAGAGAGGACCACCGCCACGCUCCAGCCCCAACCCACUGGUUCAUUAGUAUCAACAGUGAGUGAAUCACCCAGCUUUGGCCCGUCCGGCGUUACCUGUACAUGGAGACCCCCAGCUGGGCAGGUACGUCCCUCUGCCUCUCUCUCUCCAACACACACACACACUUUCUCUCUCUCUACCUGUCUCUCUAUUACAUACACACACACACACACACACACACACACACACACACACA
rnacentral:lncRNA from 1 species